GUGUUGGGAAGCAGGAGUUUUGGUUUCUGUGGGGCUGCUUUUCUUGUCUCUAGUUAUCCACUAGAUGGCGCCAGGAGGCUGUGUUGUCCAGAGGGCGGUCUCAGGUGUUCCGCCGUCACACCUGCAGCCUAUCUGUCAUCAGCCAGUGUUUAAGAGAAGCCUGUCACCAGUCCUUCGAUGCCUGAGUGUUGCCGUUCAUUGUGCUCUGUGCCCCUCAGUGUGUGCUCUCUCUGAGUUUUCUAAGUGUUUAACUCAAGCCUCCCUUGUGUUUUCCUUGUAGGUUCUCAGCAGCUGUUACCUUUGUGCCUUAUGAGUUUUAUCGGUUCACCUCCAAGAUUCUUCAUAAAGAAACCCCUGGUUCAUAAAUCCCUACGAUUGGUGACUAAUCUCUUGACUGUUCAAGUCUGUGCUACGACCUGUCCGCCCUCCAGUGAAGUACAACUAACAAACCAUCAUCGCCGCCCAUUCUUCCUGGAUCUCCUGGCUUCAGUUCCAACUCCAUCUGGACCCGGCACUCACCCUAGAAACCAGGCUCCAGCACCAGCACCUUCCCCUGGUGGAUCACUUCCAUUUCACUAAAUCCAGAUCUCCAGCCGUCCCAUACCCCGGGAAAAGAAGAUACAUUCCAACUCUUUUUACAAUAAACGUUAUUUAACUGACA